CCUACGGGGGGCAGCAGUGAGGAAUAUUGGUCAAUGGGCGCGAGCCUGAACCAGCCAAGUCGCGUGAGGGAAGACGGUCCUAUGGAUUGUAAACCUCUUUUGUCGGGGAGCAAAAGACGCCACGUGUGGCGUUCCGAGAGUACCCGAAGAAAAAGCAUCGGCUAACUCCGUGCCAGCAGCCGCGGUAAUACGGGGGAUGCGAGCGUUAUCCGGAUUUAUUGGGUUUAAAGGGUGCGCAGGCGGAAGAUCAAGUCAGCGGUAAAAUUGAGAGGCUCAACCUCUUCGAGCCGUUGAAACUGGUUUUCUUGAGUGAGCGAGAAGUAUGCGGAAUGCGUGGUGUAGCGGUGAAAUGCAUAGAUAUCACGCAGAACUCCGAUUGCGAAGGCAGCAUACCGGCGCUCAACUGACGCUCAUGCACGAAAGUGUGGGUAGCGAACAGGAUUAGAUACCCCAGUAGUC
rnacentral:rRNA from 1 species